UACAGAGGGUGCGAGCGUUAAUCGGAAUUACUGGGCGUAAAGGGCGCGUAGGCGGACAGUUAAGUCAGAGGUGAAAGCCCAGGGCUCAACCCUGGAAUUGCCUUUGAUACUGGCUGUCUUGAGUACGGGAGAGGUGAGUGGAACUCCGAGUGUAGAGGUGAAAUUCGUAGAUAUUCGGAAGAACACCUGUGGCGAAGGCGCCUUGCUGGCCAAUUUCUGACGCUGAGGCGCGAAAGCGUGGGGAGCAAACAGG
rnacentral:rRNA from 1 species